rnacentral:ncRNA from 2 species
CCUUCGCGGCUUGUUCCAGGUGCUCCGUGACCCAUGGGUCGACGGAGUGAAACAGGGAAGCCGGUGAGUGAGCGCACUUGUACACAGUGCUGCCGCAAUUCCGGCGCUGCCCCCGCAACGGUAAAUGAGUCAAGACGGUGCCUUUUGCCACUGUAUCGCCAGCGAUAUGGGAAGGCGCACCGUCGGCCUGCCUGCUUGAUUAACGCAAGCGCCACUCAUGAGCCCGGAGACCGGCCUGAAACAUCCAACAGCA